CGUAUAUGCACUAUACGGUGAACUGCGAAUGGCUCAUUAAAUCAGUUAUCGUUUAUUUGAUAGUACUUCACUACAUGGACCACUGUGGUAAUUCUAGAGCUAAUACAUGCUAAAAACCCCGACUUCGGGAGGGGUGUAUUUAUUAGAUAAAAAACCAAUGCCCUCCGGGGCUCCUUGGUGAAUCAUAAUAACUCAACGAAUCGCAUGGCCUUGCGCCGGCGAUGGUUCAUUCAAAUUUCUGCCCUAUCAACUUUCGAUGGUAGGAUAGUGGCCUACCAUGGUUUCAACGGGUAACGGGGAAUUAGGGUUCGACUCCGGAGAGGGAGCCUGAGAAACGGCUACCACAUCCAAGGAAGGCAGCAGGCGCGCAAAUUACCCAAUCCCGACACGGGGAGGUAGUGACAAUAAAUACUGAUACAGGGCUCUUUCGGGUCUUGUAAUUGGAAUGAGUACAAUUUAAAUCCCUUAACGAGGAACAAUUGGAGGGCAAGUCUGGUGCCAGCAGCCGCGGUAAUUCCAGCUCCAAUAGCGUAUAUUAAAGUUGUUGCAGUUAAAAAGCUCGUAGUUGAACCUUGGGCCUGGCUGGCCGGUCCGCCUCACCGCGUGUACUGGUCCGGCCGGGCCUUUCCUUCUGGGGAACCGCAUGGCCUUCACUGGCCGUGUCGGGGAACCAGGACUUUUACUUUGAAAAAAUUAGAGUGUUCAAAGCAGGCCUUUGCUCGAAUACAUUAGCAUGGAAUAAUAGAAUAGGACGUGCGGUUCUAUUUUGUUGGUUUCUAGGACCGCCGUAAUGAUUAAUAGGGACAGUCGGGGGCAUCCGUAUUCAAUUGUCAGAGGUGAAAUUCUUGGAUUUAUUGAAGACGAACUACUGCGAAAGCAUUUGCCAAGGAUGUUUUCAUUAAUCAGUGAACGAAAGUUAGGGGAUCGAAGACGAUCAGAUACCGUCGUAGUCUUAACCAUAAACUAUGCCGACUAGGGAUCGGUGGGUGUUAUUAUUUUGACCCCAUCGGCACCUUACGAGAAAUCAAAGUUUU
rnacentral:rRNA from 1 species